CUUUUACUUUCUACGCAUUUCUAUUUCCUCCUUUAUUUAUUUAUUUGUGAUAAACUUAAAUGACCCGGCGACGGAGGCGGGACUCGCGGCGAGGCGGAGGAUGACGAGAGACGGCCCGGGGCCAAUUGCCGAGGGGGCUGCAGGGCUGAUGGAAAAUGCAUUGGAGUCUAAUCCAGAAUCACAGCCAGAAAUCUAGAGUCACAAGAAUUCACAAGUCCAUGAAUUUCACCAAGAUCCUUUUUUAUGCCCCUCCUCAAAUUCAAUUACAUGAACCAAAGCAAGUCACAUAGUUCAACAAGAUAGGGCUGCAUAAUCCUCAUGUAGCAGAACAUCACAGAGAUGAUUUGGCAGGCAACUUCUGAAAUGGUUCCUAAUGGUCUUGUCUUCUGGAACUCACACCCUGUGUCAUCCCUUCCCGUGGAGUGUGGCCUGGACUUAGUGACUGGCUCCUAAUAAAUGGAAUUCAGCAGAAGUUUUGGGAUAUGAUUUCCAUAAUCAAGUUAUGUAACAAGACUGUUACUUCCAUCUUGCUAGUACUCUCUUUCUUGCUGGCACUUUCUCAUUCUUUCUCUUGCCUGCUUGGGUUGUUCACAUUGACAAAGCAAGAUGCCAUGUUGGAGAAGCUCAUGUGACUAGGAACUAAGAGUGACCUCUGGCCACAGCCAACACAAAACUGAGAGCCUCCUACUAAGUGCAAUAGCCAACAA